ACUCCACGGGAGGCAGCAGUGGGGAAUUUUGGACAAUGGGCGAAAGCCUGAUCCAGCAAUGCCGCGUGAGUGAAGAAGGCCUUCGGGUUGUAAAGCUCUUUUGUCAGGGAAGAAACGGUGCGGGCUAAUAUCCUGCACUAAUGACGGUACCUGAAGAAUAAGCACCGGCUAACUACGUGCCAGCAGCCGCGGUAAUACGUAGGGUGCAAGCGUUAAUCGGAAUUACUGGGCGUAAAGCGUGCGCAGGCGGUUUUGUAAGUCUGUCGUGAAGUCCCCGGGCUCAACCUGGGAAUUGCGAUGGAGACUGCAAGGCUAGAAUCUGGCAGAGGGGGGUGGAAUUCCACGUGUAGCAGUGAAAUGCGUAGAGAUGUGGAGGAACACCGAUGGCGAAGGCAGCCCCCUGGGUCAAGAUUGACGCUCAUGCACGAAAGCGUGGGGAGCAAACAGGAUUAGAUACCCUGGUAGUCCACGCCCUAAACGAUGUCUACUAGUUGUCGGGUUUUAAUUAACUUGGUAACGCAGCUAACGCGUGAAGUAGACCGCCUGGGGAGUACGGUCGCAAGAUUAAAACUCAAAGAAUUGACGGA
rnacentral:rRNA from 1 species